GGAAACAAGCCACCAUUAAUUUAAUAUUAUAUUUUUCCAGCCUGUCCUAUUGAGGAUUUGCCUAGCUAACCACCAUGAUAAGCCAAUUACUUGAAAUAAACACAGACACACACUCACUCACACACACUAUAUAUGCACAUGUGUGUUUGCAAUUAGAUUUUGUGUCUAAAAUUGAAAUACAUUUAUUUUCUUUUUGGUGAGAAAUAAUUGUACAAUAUAAUUGUUUGUGUGUGUGUGUGUAUGUGUGUGUGUGUGUGUGUGUCACACUGCUUCUGUUUCUCUGGUGGAACCCUAACCGAUAGGGAGCACAUAUGGUAUACAUUGUCCAGCUCUUCUUCAAAGACACUUUUGCUGCUCUUCCUGAAGUCUGUAGCCUCUCCUUCUCAUCAUUAUCUAGCACAGCAUCCUGUUUAUUUUCUUCCUAAAAGUCAUGAUAAUCUGCAAAUUAAAAAAAAAUUAACUACUUACUGUCUUUCUACAUAACUGAAAUAAAAUUUUCUGAGAUAAAGCACCCUCUCUCCUUCACUGAAAUAUCCUCAGGAUGUAACACAGUGCACGGAUCAUAGUAGGCACUCAGUUUGUUGAAUGAGUGCAACAUAGAAGGCUUCUU
rnacentral:lncRNA from 1 species